AACAUGCUACAUCUGCAGAGCUCAGGAAACACUGUGUUGCUCUGCAGGGCACACCAACACCCCUGCCCUUUGCAGGAGCCUCCCUGGAACUUGCUGUGAAAGUGGUAACCCAGCUGUGCUCAGGGAUAGGGCUGGGGAAAAAAAAACAAACCAAAAAAAAAACAACAGAAGAACUCGGUUUUUACAAGAUCUUUUAAAUACUGGUCUGCUUCUGAUCCUUCAAGUUAAGUGAGGUUAUAUCAGGAGCAGCUUCAAGACCAAGACGUGAUAUAUAAUUUGACUGUUACAAAGAACUGGUGUACUAUGAUUGCUCUUGAUAUAAAUAUCAAAAGUAUGAAUAAUCAUCACCUUCACUCUGAAGACUUCACCAAUUUAAGGAAAAGCAAACCAU